rnacentral:rRNA from 1 species
AACCCAACAGCUAGCCUCUACCACUAAAAACAACACCAAACUAUUUAUAACCCCUGAAACAUCAUACCCCCUCCCAACAAAACAUUUUCCCUCCUUAGUA